CGUAGGAGCGGGCUUGCUCGCGAUGCAAACGACUCGGUUUGUCAGACGCACCGGGCAGACACUAUCGCGAGCAAGCCCGCUCCCACA
rnacentral:antisense_RNA from 1 species